CAGAGAGAGUGAGGCCAGAGAGAGUGAAGACGCUAUUGAGAGAGACAGACAACGUUGAGAGUGGGGGUCGGCCUAUGAUGCUGCUUACGGAUGUCGGGAUAGGUAACGGUGGUGUGGUUGGGGGUUUCACAACAACUGAUAACCGAUUUGGAGGAUAGUGUUGGUGGUUAAUUUGACGGCGGUGAAGAUGUGUGGAAUUGGUUGUUUGGGCGGGCAUAUCUGGUAGUAGAGGGGCUGCUGGUGGGUAGGGGCAACAACAAUGAAUCCUCAGUUAUGGUGUCGUCACUAACCAAAAGAGGGGAACCUUCUUUCAAUCCUUUCUUAGAUCAGAGGGUCUAGCUAGUUCAGGUGGCGGUGGGAGUGACGAUAUGGGGAGGACCUGACAACGGCGGUUUAGGGGUUUUUAAGACCAGAUCGGAGAUGGUGAUGAUAGUUUGAGGUCUGGUUGGACCAUAAACAGCCGAUUCGUUUGGAGAUUUGGGAUACUAAACAUUUAUUGGCGAUCUACAGACGAAAGCUCACGAAGAUCGGUUGUGGGAGUGACCAACAUAAUGGUGGUGGGUUCUAUGUUCUGAUGGAUGAUCUCACGAUUACGUGCUUUAUUUCCGGGAUAUGAAUAGAGGUAUGCAAUGAUCUUGGGUUAUGCAUUGGCAAAGAUGAACCAUUGACUUGACUGCAGGAGAUGAUAGAGAUGAUAAAACCUCCUUGAACCGCCAGUUUCAGUUAUUUUAUUGAGUUUAAGAAGAUAACCACCAUAGAAGUGGAGAUCAUGGGCAGAAUAAUAAUCAGGAGCAAAACCACCAACUGAGAAACUGCCCUGAACCGCCCCUGUAGCGGUUAAUUUUGUGAGUUUAAAGGGCUGAGAUUUCAUCUCAGCAUGAUUCAACGGUAGAGAUUGAUUCAAAAAGCGGUUAGACUUAAUGGGUUAAAGGUGACAUUUAGGUGGUUGAGUUAUGGAGAUAGUGGGCAGUAAAAGGUGGAGGUAACCACCAGAUACAAAAACCAACCAUAACCUUUUGGAACCGCCACAAGAGCGGUUAUUUUUGUGAGUUUAAAGGGCUGAGAUUUAAUCUCAGCAUGAUCGAACGGAUGAUAUUGAUUUCAAAGGUAACUGCCACUUAAUGGGUUCCAUAUAUAUAUAUAUAUAUAUAAUUUGGGCGGACAACUCAUGCAAACUAAUGGGCUGAAUAAUAUGGGGACCUGGGGCAGGCCAAUGAGCAAAGUCGGUGAUCGAGGCUUGGUUAUCCUUUGUUUAGCUUUGAAUCUUUGAUGUAGGUAUUUUUAAUCUACAGUUAAAUUUGUAUUAAAUUAUGAUAAUUAGCUUGCUUUUUUAGUUUUGUUAUUAUUGUUUUAUUCUGUUAAUUGACGGAUGAGU
rnacentral:lncRNA from 1 species